rfam:Gossypium hirsutum cultivar TM-1 chromosome 16, whole genome shotgun sequence
CUCAAGGAAGCGCUUUGCCUACAUGGAUAGAAAGCGCGCCCUCAAGGAAGCAUUUGCUGUCCACGUAGGCAAAGCGCUUCCUUGAGG